UACGUAGGGUGCGAGCGUUGUCCGGAAUUAUUGGGCGUAAAGCGCACGUAGGCGGCUUAGCAAGUCGGAUGUGAAAUCCCUCGGCUCAACCAAGGAAGUGCAUCCGAAACUGCUGAGCUUGAGUACGAAAGAGGAUCGCGGAAUUCCCGGUGUAGAGGUGAAAUUCGUAGAUAUCGGGAGGAACACCAGUGGCGAAGGCGGCGAUCUGGGUCGAUACUGACGCUGAGGUGCGAAAGCGUGGGGAGCAAACAGG
rnacentral:rRNA from 1 species